AGAGAUUUAGCUUAAAUGGUAAAGCUCCUGACUUUUAAUCAGGUUUGAAUACUACUAUUUGUAGUAGUGGUAUCCAGUAACCAGGUUCGAUUCCUGGAGUCUCUA